rnacentral:rRNA from 1 species
UUGCGGUUAAAAAGCUCGUAGUUGGAUUUCUGUCGAGGAUGGCCGGUCCGCACUUUGUGCGUGCAUCUGGUUCAGCCUUGGCAUCCUCCUGGGGAACGUAUCUGCGCUUAAUUGCGUGGUGCGGUAUCCAGGACUUUUACUUUGAGGAAAUUAGAGUGUUCACGGCAGGCAAACGCCUUGAAUACAUUAGCAUGGAAUAAUAAUAUAGGACCUUGGUCCCAUUUUGUUGGUUUCUGGAACUGAGGUAAUGAUUAAUAGGGAUAAUUGGGGGCAUUCGUAUUAACGUGUCAGAGGUGGAAUUCUUGGAUUACGUUACGACGAACUACUGCGAAAGCAUUUGCCAAGGAUGUUUUCAUUGAUCAAGAACGAAAGUUCGGGGAUCGAAGAUGAUUAGAUACCAUCGUAGUCCGAACCAUAAACUAUGCCAACUAGAGAUGGGCGAUCGUUAUUUUAUUGACUUCGUCCGCACCUUAUGAGAAAUCAAAGUCUUUGGGUUCCGGGGGGAGUAUGGUCGCAAGGCUGAAACUUAAAGGAAUUGACGGAAGGGCACCACCAGGAGUGGAGCCUGCGGCUUAAUUUGACUCAACACGGGAACACUCACCAGGUCCAGACAUAGUAAGGAUUGACAGAUUGAUAGCUCUU